GGUUUGCAAAGGUUUUACAUCCCUGAGGUGGAAUGUUGCUGGGUUUGGAGAGUUUUUGGCUGGAAAUCCCAGGCCACUUCCAGACCAUCAGAUUCUUCCACCUUAACCCUCCUUGGAGUGUGUGGAGUUUCUCCCUUGUGAUGGGGACACUCCUGGAGGUUCAGAGAGAGAGAUCUGCCCACAGGCUUUGGUUUGCUGAACCUGGAUUAAAGGAGAAUUGAUCUGGCAGGAGAUUUAUUUAAAUGCCAUCACCUGAAUCCUCAUCCCCACACACCUGGGGAAACCCUGGGGGGACUUGUCUGGAGCUGAUGGUUCCUGUUCCACUGUGCUCCCCAAGGAACUGCAGGAAUCCACAGAACCAGAACAUCUUUCCAAGCUGCACCCCAUGAAAUCCAAAGUGUUCCUGAGGACUCUCCGAGCAAACCUUUGGCAAUUCCAGAUCUUCAACCAAGAGUGGUGUGUUCCUAAUCAAGAGUCCCAUGGUUUGGUUUGAUGAUCUUGGAGGUCUUUUUCCAAUGUUGAUGAGAAGCUGAAGAACAUUUUGAGGUGCCACCGGAACCAGGAGAACAAUGACAGAAACACAGAAGAGCAAGCUGUGUGUGAGCUGCUAAUUGAAACCAUCUCCUGGGCUCCAGCUGGUGGAGUUCCAGCCGGGAGGAGGGAGGAGGCUCCUUCGGCGUGGCAGUGAAGGAAACCUGAGCAUGUGUCUGAGUAAAUGCAGAAAUGGGGCCUGACACUUUAAUUCUGAAGGUGCAUCACUGAGAACUCAGUCUGACCCAGGACUCCAACAGGGAGAAAAACACACCUAUAGAACAGCUCAUGGAAAGAAAGAAAAUAGCAAACAGCAAUUAAAUGUGAUAUUCUGAUGGAUUUACAUAUGGAUGAAGCAAAUAAAUCUGAAAUUAUAUAUAUAUUAUCCUUUUCAGAAAUAUUAAUUAACUGCUGGUGAACUUAAUUAAGGUCAUGAAGGGGUUACAUAAAUCAAACAUUGCUCUUAGGGCGUUGCACCCUUGACAUUCCCUGUGUAGGGAAUCAUGGAAUAUUGGAAUAUCCAACUCUUUUCUUGUCUUCCUUCCUCCUCCUAUAGUUUCUCCCUCUGGAAAUUUGUACACCUUGCAAAAGUAACCCUGUCCUGGGCAAAUUUAUGGGCCAAUUUUUUAAAUCCAGGGAUAAUAUUCCCGUU